AUACGGAGGAUGCAAGCGUUAAUCGGAAUCACUGGGCGUAAAGCGCACGUAGGCUGUUUGGUAAGUCAGGGGUGAAAUCCCACAGCUCAACUGUGGAACUGCCUUUGAUACUGUCAGUCUAGAGUAUAGUUGAAGUUGGCGGAAUGUGUCAUGUAGCGGUGAAAUGCUUAGAUAUGACACAGAACACCGAUCGCGAAGGCAGCUGACUAAGCUAUAACUGACGCUCAUGCACGAAAGCGUGGGGAUC
rnacentral:rRNA from 1 species